GGAAGUUAAAGGUUCCGUAGUCUUCUGGUGUCACAGCAGUGUUGUAACGUGUUGUAAGGUCACAGAGAGGCGCUUUACAACAGCUUACACAGCUCAAAAAGACGUACAAGUUAUACUUUUAUAUUUUGAUUGAUUAUCUAGCGUGUUGAUUUAUUGACGGAGCGUGUUCAACUAACGUAGUAAACAAUUGGCUGCUUGAAACAGUCAUAUCAGAUCUCAGACAACUUCUCAGCCAAUCAGAACACCCCGUGCACCCACUCUCCUCCAAGACACCUCUAGGAUCAACUGAAGAGAACUCACCAGAAAGUAAACAAAGUGGAGCAUCAAGGCCCUUAGUAUUUUGUCUUGUAGCUUUACACUCUUGACACAUUCAGGUUCACCAUCACCUAAGAAGCAUCGUGUGGAACCGCUGCCGUCGACUUGGUUUGUGAUCUUUGGUCUUGUGAGUUUGUCCGAUGGCGAGGCACAGUAAGUUGCAAAAGCAGAUCCUGGCUCUGUACCGGCAGUUCCUGCGGGCGGGACAAGACAAACCAGGCUUCAUCCCCCGAAUCCGUGACGACUUCAGACAGAACGCUCUCAUCAAGAAGACGGACGUGAUGCACAUCGAGUACCUGUACCGACGAGGGCAGAGGCAACUAGAGCAGCUGAUGGACGUCAACACCAAGCAGUUAGGCUCCUUCUCCAAACCUGCAGAGAAAAGCUGACCUCUGACCUGUACGGCGUUAUGUGACCAUGAACGACACUGACAAUUACCUCGCAAAGACUGAUGACCAAACUGUUGCUGUGUAUCCAGUUGGGAAAGAAACAUGCUUUUGGAGUUUAAAAUCCAAAUGAGCAUGCUCUGAUUGUUAAGAUGCAUUAAAAUGAAAAUAUACUUCAUUUGAGCUCUAAUGUUAAUAAAGUUCACAUCGAAGUGAAAAAGGCUAUUACUGCAAUUAUUAUCACAGUGAAAUUGAGCCAUCAACAUUUUAACAAGUACCGAAAUUACAGAUUUCACUUAUUUUCCUGUUCGUCAGCUCUGUGAAGCUAUACUUGGACAGUGGUGCUUAGCGCUGUUUACUAAAUACUAUGUUCACAAUAACAAAGCUAACAUCCUGAUACUUAGAAUAUAUUGCUGACAGUCAUAGUUCAGCUAAAUAUCAGUAAACAAAAAGUAGGCAGAGGCUGAUUGGAAUGUCAUUCAUUUAGAUAUUAGGUCAUAAACAUAAACAAGAUGAAGAUGAAUGUCUGUACAAUGGUUCACUGAAAUCACUCCAGAGGUAAGUCAUUCUGGGAGAGUACACUUCAUGCUAUUUUUAAUCAUGUAUAUGGUUUAUAACAUAUGAUGUAUUGCUGUAUAGAUCAAACAACUCAACAGUUUAUAAAGUAAUUAAAAUUAGCAUAUGAGAGGCAAACAUAUAUAAAUAUAAAUAACAUUUAAAAAAAUGCAAACAGAAAAUAAUACAUUUGUGAAUAAUUACAUAUUUAAAAAAAGAAAUUACAAAAUAAGUAAUUAGUUAUCUAUUUAUUUUUCUGUUUCUUUGAACAUUUUUUAAUUAACCUUCACAUUUAUUUAAUGAUUGAAACGUACUGUUCUUUCUGUGUCUUUGUGUAAACCUUCUUUGUAAUAAAACACACUCUGAUUGUGACCACUAAGAGGCAGCAUGGAGUCUGGAUCACAGACUGACACCAACGAAGAAGAAGAGGAAGCCAAGUAAACAGGAAAAGAGAAAAUUCUCACCCUUUUUUCUGGUCAACAGAUUAAUCUCCCAUUGGUAUAUUUAUGUGAAAGUACCAAAUAUAACUUCUUUUAUCGCUUGCAGAGGAAGUUUAAGGAUUAUUCUUCAUCAUAACCUUAAGUUUAUUUUGUGCUUUUUAGUUUAAUAUUCCGUUUUUUCGUCAUGGCGAAUUCAGGAGGAGCAAUGACAAACGCUCAGUUAUUUCAGCAGAUGGCGCUGCUGCGCUGGCUCUCCUCUCAGACGGACGAGGACAGGACUUUUUUGACAGCAGUGAUGGGUGUCCAGGUCGGCAGAGAGCUGCUGAAUCGGUUCACCGGCCAGGACAAAGUGGACGCUUACAAGAGAGAGUGUAUCCUGAGCAUCUCAGAGUUCCUCCAGCAGAACCCGCAGGCCUCGCAGGCCAACAUCACCUCCGAAGUGGAGAAAAGAGUUCUGGUUUUCGCCACCAAAGUCAAAGCUCUGGAGACUGCACCACUAUUCUGAAUAUACCUCUCUGUGUUUAUUUCUAAAAGAUGUGGAAACCUCAACAUUGUGGGAACAAUUUAUAUCUUCGUAGCAGAAAUGCUAUGCUAAUUGUUUAAUACAGUCUUUUUUGCUAUACAUUAUAUUUGUGUAUUUUUUUUGUUUCAUUGUAACUGAAUAAUCGAUCCCCACAGUGAAAAACUUAAAUUGAAUGUAUUAUGUCAACAGAUGUCACAUAACUGUAUAAGGUUAGUUGAAAGCAGAAGAACAUUAGGUUAAUCUUAAUAUUAUUGCUUUCAACUAACCUAAUACAGUUAUGUGACAUCUGUUGACAUAAUACAUUUAAUUUAAGCCAACGUGCACUUUGUAUCCAAAGAAGAAGCAUUGAGACAGAGCUCUGAAAGUUUAAAGUAAAAAAACAUUUUUAAAUCCUUUGACUUUUACCUUUGACCAAUACCUUGGGAAGUGCUUGAGAAUGAAACUCUGUGUCAUUGCCUUAAAUCUGUAUGUUGAUCUGAGCUUUAAUGACAAUACAAUGUUCUUUAAACUCACAGCCUUUUAUUAAAUGUGAAUUGUGUGAAGAGAAACUAA